GUGGGGAAUCUUCCGCAAUGGACGAAAGUCUGACGGAGCGACGCCGCGUGAGUGAAGAAGGCCUUCGGGUCGUAAAGCUCUGUCAUCAGGGACGAACGGCCGGUGGAGUGGAAAGCCACCGGAUUGACGGUACCUGAGAAGGAAGCCACGGCUAACUACGUGCCAGCAGCCGCGGUAAUACGUAGGUGGCAAGCGUUGUCCGGCAUUAUUGGGCGUAAAGCGCGCGCAGGUGGGAUCUUAAGUCCAUUUUUAAAGUUCGGAGCUCAACUCCGUGAUGGGAUGGAAACUGGGAUUCUUGAGUACCGGAGAGGAAAGCGGAAUUCCCCGUGUAGCGGUGAAAUGCGUAGAUAUGGGGAGGAACACCAGUGGCGAAGGCGGCUUUCUGGACGGUGUCUGACACUGAGGCGCGAAAGCCAGGGGAGCGAACGGGAUUAGAUACCCGGGUAGUCC
rnacentral:rRNA from 1 species